rnacentral:rRNA from 1 species
UACGAAGGGUGCAAGCGUUACUCGGAAUUACUGGGCGUAAAGCGUGCGUAGGUGGUGCGUUAAGUCUGUCGUGAAAGCCCCGGGCUCAACCUGGGAAUGGCGAUGGAUACUGGCGCGCUAGAGUGCGGUAGAGGAGAGUGGAAUUCCCGGUGUAGCAGUGAAAUGCGUAGAGAUCGGGAGGAACAUCAGUUGCGAAGGCGACUUACUGGACGACUGUUGACGCUGAGGUGCGAAAGCGUGGGGAGCAAACAGG